rnacentral:rRNA from 2 species
CGUCGCAAGCUUACCCUGUGAAGGUCUCAUAGUAAGCAAAAUGGGUAUAUCCCAAAACGUCAGGUCGAGGUGUAGCUUAUGAGGUGGGAAGAAAUGGGCUACAUUUUCUAUGCCAGAAUAAUACGGACAGCACUAUGAAAAUUUAGAGCUCGAAGGUGGAUUUAGUAGUAAAAAACAAAUAGAGAGUCUUUUUGAAAUAGGCUCUGAGACGCGUACACACCGCCCGUCACUCUCCCCAUUUUACUUAUAUAACCAAUUAAAUAAAAAAUGACUCAAAAAGCGGGGAGGCAAGUCGUAACAUGG